AUCUCAUUGCCGGCUUAAGCUCUAGCCUCCAAGAAGUAAAAUAAUAAUAAUUCAAAUAUAAAGAAUAACAAAAUCUCAUUCAAAACCAACACAAUGAAGUAUAGUCAUUUGUCACUUUUGGUUGUUUUCUUAUUUACUGCAACAUCCAACACUUUGGCUGACAAAAAAGAUGGGAAUCCCAGCAAAGCUCCAUUAACACCAAAAGUUUAUAUAAAACUCUUGCAAAAUCGCCGCAAAGACCACUCACUUUUGAUUCAAAGAAUGCUCCAAAAUGACUACAGUAAAAAUUACAAAAUGAUCUCGUUGGCUUUGGAUAAAAUAUUUCAAGUUAUAAAACAAAGCAAUCAAACUUUGAAUGAGGAAAGUUAUUCCCCAAUUGCUGACGGUUUUCCUGUUGAACAACAAAUCCAAGAAGCCGUCACUUUGCUGAUAGAAGACACAUGUCUUGCGGCAGACAUUAUUUUGCAUUUUCCCGAAAUGUCUCAAAAGAUUCUUAAAAAAGUCCCACAAUGGAAAGAAUCUAUAAAUUGGUGUCUUGAUUUUGUGAUGCAUUUUCCACACAUUAUUGACGAACAAAUAGUCGAGUUGAUUGACCUUGUUGGUCAAGAAAUCAAUGAGGACACAAGAAGAACCGAUUUUAUUAAUCCUUAUUACAAAAAAGUCGAUACGGAAGAGGAGAUUCCCACAAAGAAGACAAAGCGAGAAAAGAAAAAGGUCAAAAAAGGUCCACAACUCACAUCAAGAUCAGACCUUUAAAACAAAGAUCGAUCCGGAAAUGUCAACAUCAAAAAUGGAUUCAUUUUCUUUAUUGGAUGAUAAUUCAGAACAAAAUAACAUACUCGUCCUUGAAACCAACACAAAUGAUGUCGUCAAUCCAACAGAGUGCUCUCGGAACAUCUUUCAACUCGAUACUGAUUGGCAAUGGAUGCAAUCGAUCCAGUUUCCAAUAGUAGAAUUGCAGUUUUCGUUUAAUGGCAACACACAUUCUUAUCACAGUGGCUGUUUCUCCAGUUUGAGAUUUCGGUGUCUUUAA